rnacentral:rRNA from 1 species
GAUGAACGCUGGCGGCGUGCUUAACACAUGCAAGUCGAACGGAAAGGCUCCUGCUUGCAGGGGUACUCGAGUGGCGAACGGGUGAGUAACACGUGGGUGAUCUGCCCUGCACUUCGGGAUAAGCCUGGGAAACUGGGUCUAAUACCGGAUAGGACGAUGGUUUGGAUGCCAUUGUGGAAAGUUUUUCGGUGUGGGAUGAGCUCGCGGCCUAUCAGCUUGUUGGUGGGGUAAUGGCCUGCCAAGGCGUCGACGGGUAGCCGGCCUGAGAGGGUGUACGGCCACAUUGGGACUGAGAUACGGCCCAGACUCCUACGGGAGGCAGCAGUGGGGAAUAUUGCACAAUGGGCGCAAGCCUGAUGCAGCGACGCCGCGUGGGGGAUGACGGCCUUCGGGUCGUAAACUCCUUUCGCUAGGGACGAAGCGCAAGUGACGGUACCUGGAGAAGAAGCACCGGCUAACUACGUG